GUCAGGAUGGCCGAGUGGUCUAAGGCGCCAGACUCAAGUUCUGGUCUUCGAGAGAGGGCGUGGGUUCAAAUGCCACUUCUGACA
rnacentral:tRNA from 1 species